GACGAACGCUGGCGGCGUGCUUAACACAUGCAAGUCGAACGGAAAGGCCCCGUUGUGGGUCCUCGAGUGGCGAACGGGGGAGUAACACGAGAGUAACCUGCCCUUGACUUCGGGAUAACUUCAGGAAACUGGGGCCAAUACCGGAAAGGAAUCCUUGCUGCAUGGGGGGGGUUGGAAAGCUACGGCGGUUUUGGGUGGACUCGCGGCUUAGCAGCUUGUUGGUGGGGUAGUGGCUUACCAAGGCGUUGUCGGGUAGCCGGCCUGAGAGGGCGACCGGCCACCUUGGGACUGAGGUGCGGCCCAGGCUCCUACGGGUGGCAGCAGUGGGGAAUCUUGACCGAUGGGCGGAGGCCUGAUGCAGCAAGGCCGCGUGCGGGAUGACGGCCUUCGGGUUGUAAACCGCUUUCAGCAGGGGCGAAGCUUGUGGUGACGGUACCUGCAGAAGAAGCACCGGCUAACUACGUG
rnacentral:rRNA from 1 species